UACAGAGGGGGCAAGCGUUGUUCGGAAUUACUGGGCGUAAAGGGCGCGUAGGCGGCCUUCUAAGUCGAACGUGAAAUCCCCGGGCUCAACCCGGGAACUGCGUCCGAUACUGGAAGGCUUGAAUCCGGGAGAGGGAUGCGGAAUUCCAGGUGUAGCGGUGAAAUGCGUAGAUAUCUGGAGGAACACCGGUGGCGAAGGCGGCAUCCUGGACAAGUACUGACACUCAACUACGAAAGCGUGGGGAGCAAACAGG
rnacentral:rRNA from 1 species